UACGGUAGGGCGCAAGCGUUGUCCGGAAUUAUUGGGGCGUAAAAGAGCUCGUAGGCGGUGUGUCGCGUCGGAUGUGAAAGCCCGGGGCUUAACCCCGGGGUCUGCAUUCGAUACGGGCAGACUGGAGUGUGGGUAGGGGAGAUCGGAAUUCCUGGUGUAGCGGUGAAAUGCGCAGAUAUCAGGAGGAACACCGGUGGCGAAGGCGGUUCUCUGGGCAUGACCUG
rnacentral:rRNA from 1 species